UAGGGAAUCUUCCGCAAUGGGCGAAAGCCUGACGGAGCAACGCCGCGUGAGUGAUGAAGGUCUUCGGAUCGUAAAACUCUGUUAUUAGGGAAGAACAAAUGUGUAAGUAACUAUGCACGUCUUGACGGUACCUAAUCAGAAAGCCACGGCUAACUACGUGCCAGCAGCCGCGGUAAUACGUAGGUGGCAAGCGUUAUCCGGAUUUAUUGGGCGUAAAGCGAGCGCAGGCGGUCAAUUAAGUCUGAUGUGAAAGCCCCCGGCUCAACCGGGGAGGGUCAUUGGAAACUGGUUGACUUGAGUGCAGAAGAGGAGAGUGGAAUUCCAUGUGUAGCGGUGAAAUGCGUAGAUAUAUGGAGGAACACCAGUGGCGAAGGCGACUCUCUGGUCUGUAACUGACGCUGAGGUUCGAAAGCGUGGGUAGCAAACAGG
rnacentral:rRNA from 1 species